UUUGAGCCUUUCUAGAACUAGUUAUCGCACCAGGGGCAUAAUUGAGAAAACAAUGGCCUUCCUUAGGCCUAUAUAACUGUUGGAGUUACACCCGUGCAAAAGCAGGGUUAGGGUUCUUGUGCCACACUCUGAUACUGAAAGUGCUAUCUAUCUAUGAUGUUACAAAAUCCCUAAUCUCUCACUCUGAUUAAAAAAAAAAAAAAAAACAAAGGGAAACAUUCAUGGAAGCUAUGAACUGCUUCUGUCUCUCUCUCUCUCUCUCUCUCUCUCUCUCACAGACGCAGUUUCAGUUUAGCAUAAGCCUUGUGAUUUCUUGGAUCUUUCUUAUCUUUUGCUCUCUUUCUCUCUGAUCCCGAUGAGGCUGUGACGAUGGUUGCAGAGUGUGGAAUCGAAGGACCGGGCGCCGUCAAGCAAUGCUCGCCGGUGGCGAGGCAAUUCCAUUGCAGCCAUCCAUGGCGGCCUUGCUUUUCGAUGGCCGGUCCCUUGCUAGUACCAAAUCUGAGCCUCCACUGGAACCCUAACCCUAACCCUAUUCUCUCUGUAUUUUGGCGGCAUGUUAGAAGUUGGCAGCUACUGGAAAUGCUCAAUUACUUAUAGUUCUUGAAGGCAGCAACUCAAGACCAUGCCUGCAAUGUCUUAAGGGAUCUGGAAGAAGAUUGGCCAAUUGAAAGAUUACAAUGUACCAGAAGAUUGCUUGCAUUGAAUCUUCCCCAAGUGGUUGCUGCUUGCUACGCGAAGUAUAUUGUUGCUGUAUAGUGUAGACAUGAAUAUGUAACUUUUGGUUUUGCAUAAGUCCUAAGACUCUGAGUGAUAAUUAUUCUUUCAAUUCAAAGAUAUUUGAUCUUGUGGUUCAAUGUAAGUUAGGCAGUUUAAUAUUAGUAUGACAGCUGGAUUCUUUGAUUUACGAUUGAUGGUAUAUGUAUAUAUAAUAUAUGCGUGAUUCUGUUUAGAA